UACGAAGGUCUCGAGCGUUGUUCGGAAUCACUGGGCGUAAAGGGAGCGUAGGCGGCGUGGUAAGUCAGAUGUGAAAUCCCGGGGCUCAACCCCGGAACUGCAUCCGAUACUGCCGUGCUAGAGUAAUGGAGGGGUAGCUGGAAUUCUCGGUGUAGCAGUGAAAUGCGUGGAGAUCGAGAGGGACACUCGUGGCGAAAGCGAGCUACUGGACAUUCACUGACGCUGAGGCUCGAAGGCCAGGGUAGCGAAAGGG
rnacentral:rRNA from 1 species